rnacentral:lncRNA from 10 species
UGCAGCUGGCCCAGAGCCCUGGGGUGCACGUGGGUGAUGACAUGGGGCCGGCAGGAAGGAGACAUUUAUUGACCCACCUGCUGCUUACUGGACAUUAAACAAGCGGCUGAAAUGUGUCUCAUCCCAGAUUGGCUGGCUUUACGGCCGUUCUGACACAGAGCAGAUGGGGGCGUGUAGACGAGGCCUGCCAGAUCCUGGAGGGCUCUGCACUCAGUUUCUUCUCCAAGCCAUGCUGCUGGCCGGGGCCUGCUGGUCACCCACCCGUGGGAAUGAAGGGGGACCACGGAGCCCCAGCUCGGGACAGGUAGGCUCUUCCAGUGGGCCUGCGAGCCCUCCUACAAUCAGUGCCAGAACAAAUUCAGGAUGAGGACCAGUCUCCUGAACGCAGUGUGGAAGCCACCUCCUAUGACUCUCUUUGUGGAUUGGCUCGCAUUUUAUUUUGUAACAAAUUCACCAUCACUUUGCUCUCCCAAGGUUCUGGGUCACACAGAAAUAAAAGAAUAAAAGCCCAUUUAACAUUGUUCAUAACAGCCUUUGUGAUUAGGAAAAUGACAGGCAUUCAUUCCUGCUCAAUCCGCAGCUCCUAAGUCAAAUUUCACAAAGGCGUUGUUGAUGAAUUCUGUGAAUGGGGGGCUGGUGUGCCGGCUUUGCUUUCCCCAUGAUAAAUAUUCAUGUGGAGACCAGAGACAAAGACAUUGAGGUUCAAAUCCAGGGCACGCUUGUAUGCAGCCCUGAACACGCUGGAUUCUGCAGAAAUGCCCCGUGUGUCAUAAGACAUGUGAGAGCCACCGCCUCCCCUGGACUCAGUGACGAGGGCUGUGCAUCAGGCACCUUGCAGGCAAUACUCAGACCUGACUGCCCGCAGCCGUGGGCCUUAUUGGAGGCUACAGGUGAGCUUUGAGAAGCUGGGAGAAGAAAAGACCUCUCGGUUGCUAUGUGGCAGUCGCUGGGUUGUGGAGAAGGGACGCUGGUCUACAGGAUGCUGGGCUCAUUGCAGAAGCCCCAAACUUGAAGAAUGUCAGAUGCACCAGAGUCGACUACAGUCCCCUCCUCACGGGAGCCCCGAAGGAGGAGUUCCAGGUUUAGCUUUGCCAUGUAAAUAGUUCAGAAGUCAUCACUUCCAUCCUGCCAACACGAAAAAGGCUGAACAAACUGAAAAUCAAUGACUUUCCUUGCACCGUCUGAGAAUUAAGGAGGCAGGACAAACUGCCUCCCUGCAAUCUGGAAAGACAGAUGGAUGUGCAGAAUCACAGCUGAGGCCCGAUCACCUGGGCGGAAGCCACUGCAGCCUCACACGAGCGGGAACGCACACACGCUCGUUUUGAUGACUUGUGAAGGCCAAGCGUGGAUUGGCUGGAGAGAGAGAAACUCCUGGGGACUACAGGUUAAGGGGGACUCCACACUUGUGUGGGAUCUACCUCCAGGAACCCCACCAGGUUCCUGUAGUGAAGAGCACAGGAAGCCUUUCUAAUGUCUGGGCAGGAGGAGGGCCACAGAGCCUUUCUGAAACCUGCCCAGUGUUCUCCAUAACAGAUGCCUACUUAGCAGUCAGGAAGGAAAGCACCGAAGCCUGUGCACUUGGGGGCAGGGUGCGGGCUCACUCCAGCUCCCCCUGGGUUCUUGUCUCACUGAAGAGGGGAAGAAAGGUAGGAAACGCUUGUAGAGGACAAGCCAAAGACACAGACCCACUAAGGAAGUGAAACUUAAUCAUAGGAUUAUCAAAAGCUUCACCUCCCCGCAAUUCACUGCUCCGCUGAUGGGGCUUCCAGACAUUGGUAGAGGAUUACAGCAGAAAAGAUGCAAGCUACACCCUCUCACUCUGGAGGUGAAGCCCAGGCAACUGGUAGUGAGAGGACAGACCAAAGCAAAGAAUGUUCCCGGAGCCUGCAGCCCCAGCACUCACUGAACAUAUCUACUAGCCAGAUUAGCACAAAACCUCAUGCUAAAGACCGACUUACUCCAGUCCCUAUUAACAGAGAAAGGAGUUGGCUCACACAACUCCAAAGCCUGGGAAGUCCUGGCAUCGGCCGUCUGAGGCUAGACGCCCAGCAAAGCUGGUGCUGUGGCUCCAAGACCUGGGAACCAGGAGCCCCAAUGUCCAAGGGGAGGAGAAGGUGGACGCCCCGGCUCACACAGGCAGACAGAGCAAACACAACCUUCCCCCACUGCUGCGUUCUCAUCAGGCUGACAGUGGCUUAGUUGAUGCCCACUGUGAUGGUUAAUUUUAUAUCAACUUGACUGGGCUAAGAGAUGCCCAGGCAGCUGGUAAAAUGUGAUUUCUGGGUGUGUCUGGGACGGUGUUUCUGGAAGACAUUGGCACUUGAAUCAGUGAACGGAGUCAAGCAGAUGGCCUCCCCAGUCUGGUUGGACCUCAUCCAAUCCAUUGAGGGCUUGAGUAGAAUGGAAAGGUGGAGGGAGGGAGUUUGCCCUUUCUCUGCGUAAGCUGGGCCUUUCAUCUCCUGCCCUGGGACUUCAGUGUCGCUGGGUCUCAGGCCUCUGGGCUUGGAGUGAAAUGACACCUCCAGUUUUCCUGGGCCUCCAGCUUGCACACAGCAGAUUGUGGGAUAUGUCAGCCCUCAUAAUGGUGUGAGCAAAUCUCUCAUAAUAAAUCUCUUUCUAUGUAUCUAUAAAUAG